rnacentral:rRNA from 1 species
UACGGAGGGAGCAAGCGUUACUCGGAAUUAUUGGGCGUAAAGGGCGCGUAGGCGAUUCGAAAAGUCAACUGUGAAAGCCCAGGGCCUAACCCUGGAAGUGCAGCUGAUACUGUUGAAUUUGAGUUCCGGAGAGGAAGGCAGAAUUCCCGGUGUAGCGGUGAAAUGCGUAGAUAUCGGGAGGAAUACCAGUGGCGAAGGCGGCUACCUGGACCAGCACUGACACUGAGGCACGAAAGCGUGGGGAGCAAACAGG